rnacentral:rRNA from 1 species
GGACAACAGUUGGAAACGACUGCUAAUACCGCAUAAGCCCACGACCCGGCAUCGGGAAGAGGGAAAAGGAGCAAUCCGCUUUGAGAUGGCCUCGCGUCCGAUUAGCUGGUUGGUGAGGUAAUGGCCCACCAAGGCGACGAUCGGUAGCCGGACUGAGAGGUUGAACGGCCACAUUGGGACUGAGACACGGCCCAGACUCCUACGGGAGGCAGCAGUGGGGAAUAUUGCACAAUGGGGGAAACCCUGAUGCAGCGACGCCGCGUGGAGGAAGAAGGUCUUCGGAUUGUAAACUCCUGUUGUUGAGGAAGAUAAUGACGGUACUCAACAAGGAAGUGACGGCUAACUACGUGCCAGCAGCCGCGGUAAAACGUAGGUCACAAGCGUUGUCCGGAAUUACUGGGUGUAAAGGGAGCGCAGGCGGGCGAUCAAGUUGGAAGUGAAAUCCAUGGGCUCAACCCAUGAACUGCUUUCAAAACUGGUCGUCUUGAGUAGUGCAGAGGUAGGCGGAAUUCCCGGUGUAGCGGUGGAAUGCGUAGAUAUCGGGAGGAACACCAGUGGCGAAGGCGGCCUACUGGGCACCAACUGACGCUGAGGCUCGAAAGUGUGGGUAGCAAACAGGAUUAGAUACCCUGGUAGUCCACACCGUAAACGAUGAUUACUAGGUGUUGGGAGAUUGACCCUCUCAGUGCCGCAG